ensembl:lncRNA
UUGCUACUGAUGUAUUGAGAUCUACUCAGCUGCCUCUGCACCCAAUUCAGCAACACAAGGAUGGGGGCUUUGCAGCAUUCAGAGCCAUUUCUCCAGCCCCCAGGACGGUGCCCGGCACACAGCAGGUGUUCAGUGAACCUCUGCUGACAACUGAAACCGCACCGCUGGUCGUUGAGGACAAUGUCCGCAUCCUGUUCCCGAACCACUCUGGUGUUGGCCAAAUGCUCAGCUCUGAAGGCUCACUCCACGCCACACAGCUGGUCCUCCACCACGUACAGCAAGCAGCAGCCGUUCUCAUCCACCACACUCGGCAGCAGUGCUGGGCUCCCAAAGCCCACCCCAAAGAUGGCCAGGCCAAGGUGGUCGGCCACCCUGGCUCCAAAGUCAUGACAGCAUCUCAGGCCUCCUCCACGGAGCACCCUAUGGGAGGGAGGCUUCGGAAAAUCUCUGGCUGGUCCGCUCUGAGGGCACUGCUGGUGUCUUUACUUGGAAAGCAGAAAACACUGAAAGGUGGCGGGUGGAGGUAGAUGGUGUUGCAUCCUCCUGGGCAGACAAGUCGCUUGUGGUGAUGCUGAUGGCAGUAGGGUUGACAGGGAGCAGAGACGUGUGGCCCACGGCGGGAGGAGGUACCGUGCCAAUGCUGGGACUGCCUGAGAGAAUGAGCUGGGGCUGAGGCUGAUGGGGCAAAGGCUGGUGGCGAGGGUGUGCGUGAAGGCCGGUGGCAGUGAGAUCCGAGGCGGCCGAGCUGGACAAAAGACACAUUCAUUUAAACAAAGUGGUAGGACUCACAGCACCCAGUCCACAAUCAUCUCAGAGGAUCAAAAGUGGAGAGUCACUCUGCAAACCAGUAUGUAUCUGGCUUGUGAUAAGACAGCAUGCGGGUGGCCACGCACACUUUAACAAAACUGCAAGACUUCACAGGGUUACUCCCCAAGUGGGCAAGCCACUAGCAGAUCCGUAAACGUAGUGUCAUCAGGCGGCCUGUCCACAUACUUCGGAAACUUUUGCAGGGCAGAGAAUCCUAAAAUAGCCGGCAGCCCGCUGGGAUGUCUCCUGAAAUACUAGCGUUGGCACUGACACUUACACGAGAAUGGGCGUCCGCAGGCCGUGCUGCGGAUGAGUCUGCGGUUCCUGUGGUGCCUGCCCGAGGACAGGUGCUCCGGGAUGCGGUCCCUGGGCACGCGCAUAGGCAGCUCGCAGGCCGUGCAGGAAAGGGUCUCCACCACAGACGUGUCCCCAGAGUCACUGUGCUCAGUCAGGGGCUGCUACACCACCAGGUCGGUGAACUCCGCCGCGCAGUCGUGCAAAGUCUUUUUCCGGCCCAUUGUCGGGUCCGGGAUGGAAACGGAGGCAGCCUUGACCCCCGACCGAGGGCCCCGUGGGAUCUGCGCUCACCGCCUUGCGAGCAGAGGCGUUCGCGUCGGAGGCCCCACACUUGGGGAGCGGGGAGCUGGGGUCUCUGGUGGUCCCACAGGAGAAGGAGGAGGGACGGAGCAGGUGGGAAGGAUGAGCGCUCCCGCGUGCAGCGGUGGCUGGAGUGGGUCCCUCUGAGCUGGAGUGGUCUCCGAGGGGCGGCGGAUGCUCGGAGGAGGCGGGUCCCUUAGGGCCGGGGGCCAGGGCGAUCCCACCUGGAGAAGCCUCGCGGGCGAGAAGCGGGUCCCUUCCUGGGGCAGAUGGAGACGCGGGAGUCUUCCCCGAGAGGUGACCGAGGCCAGUUAGCGGCCCCUGGGGCCCAAGGCCGGGGACUCUCGACCGCCGGUGGACGGGUAGGGCCGGCCCGCCUGGGUAGGCGGCGGGGUGAAGGUCUCCGGGGCCCGAGGCGGCAACGUGCCACCCGCCGGGCAACCAGCCCAUCCCCAGCUCCCAUCUAGGGAUCCGCACCCGCGCGCCGCGGCGCCGCAGUUUAAAGCCCGUGAGAUCCUGCAACAACCCGGAUCC